UACGAAGGGGGGCUAGCGUUGUUCGGAAUUACUGGGCGUAAAGCGUAUGCAGGCGGAUCGUUAAGUCGGGGGUGAAAUCCCGAGGCUCAACCUCGGAACUGCCUUCGAUACUGGCGAUCUUCGAGUCCGGGAGAGGUGAGUGGAACUCCGAGUGUAGAGGUGAAAUUCGUAGAUAUUCGGAAGAACGCCAGUGGCGAAGG
rnacentral:rRNA from 1 species